rnacentral:rRNA from 1 species
AUUGAACGCUGGCGGUAUGCUUAACACAUGCAAGUCGAACGGAAGUAAAGGGGCAACUCUUUGCUUUAGUGGCGGACGGGUGAGGAAUACGUAGGAAUCUACCUUAAAGUGGGGGAUAACUCGGGGAAACCCGAGCUAAUACCGCAUAUGCUCUACGGAGUAAAGGGGGCGCAAGCUCUCGCUAUAAGAUGAGCCUACGUCGGAUUAGCUAGUUGGUGGGGUAAAGGCCUACCAAGGCGACGAUCCGUAGAUGGUCUGCGAGGAUGAUCAGCCAAAUUGGGGUUGGGAUACGGCCCAGCCGCCUACGGGAGGCAGCAGUGGGGAAUAUUGGACAAUGGGCGCGAGCCUGAUCCAGCAAUACGGUGUGUGUGAAGACUGCCUUCGGGUUGUAAAGCACUUUCAGUAGGGAAGAAAAGUUUAGGGUUAAUUCCCCUAAGCCUUGACGUUACCUACAGAAGAAGCACCGGCUAACUCUGUGCCAGCCGCCGCCGUAAUAC